UACAGAGGGUGCAAGCGUUGUUCGGAAUUAUUGGGCGUAAAGCGCGUGUAGGCGGCUUUGCAAGUCGGGUGUGAAAGCCCUCAGCUCAACUGAGGAGGUGCGCCCGAAACUGCAGAGCUUGAGUGCCGGAGAGGGUGGCGGAAUUCCCCAAGUAGAGGUGAAACUCGUAGAUAUGGGGAGGAACACCGGUGGCGAAGGCGGCCACCUGGACGGUAACUGACGCUGAGACGCGAAAGCGUGGGGAGCAAACAGG
rnacentral:rRNA from 1 species